rnacentral:rRNA from 1 species
AGCGGCGCACGGGUGAGUAACGCGUACGCAAUCUGCCCUUCAGUGAGGAAUAGCCCUGGGAAACUGGGAUUAAUACCUCAUAAUAUUAUUUGUCUGCAUGGAUGAAUAAUUAAAGUUCUGGCGCUGAAGGAUGAGCGUGCGUCUGAUUAGCUAGUUGGUAGGGUAACGGCCUACCAAGGCUACGAUCAGUAGGGGGCGUGAGAGCGUGACCCCCCACACGGGUACUGAGACACGGACCCGACUCCUACGGGAGGCAGCAGUAAGGAAUAUUGGGCAAUGGAGGCAACUCUGACCCAGCCAUCCCGCGUGAAGGAUUAAGGCCCUAUGGGUUGUAAACUUCUUUUGUUUGGGAAGAAAUCUGGACAUUUAUGUGCAGUUGACGGUACCUUACGAAUAAGCACCGGCUAACUCCGUGCCAGCAGCCGCGGUAAUUCGGAGGGUGCAAGCGUUAUCCGGAAUCACUGGGUUUAAAGGGUGCGUAGGCGGUUUGAUAAGUCAGAGGUGAAAGCUAGCAGCUUAACUGUUAAAUUGCCUUUGAUACUGUCAGACUUGAAUCAAGUUGAGGUAGGCGGAAUGUGACAUGUAGCGGUGAAAUGCAUAGAUAUGUCAUAGAACACCAAUUGCGUAGGCAGCUUGCUGGGCUUGAAUUGACGCUGAGGCACGAAAGCGUGGGGAUCAAACAGGAUUAGAUACCCUGGUA